GGCUGCCGCCGCCAACACCUUAGGUGAAUACCGAGCUCCAGGAAGGUCGCUGUGGGUAGGGCAUGUGGGAAACGAGGCCAGGGGGAGAAGGAGGCCUCAACGUGGCCAAAGCACCUUGAUGAUGCGCUCUGUCCCCGGAGGCGCGUUCCACGGCCGCUGCCGGCACCUAGGCAGAGGGAUACGUUCCAGAAACACCUCAGCUUAGCGCGGGGAUGGCCUUCUUGUGCGUGAGUCCCUCUGCACACGGGAACUGUGCGCCCUGGGCACUGCACCUUCCAGUAUGUGGGCCGGAGAGGCGGGGGAUCUUGCCCAGCGGGUCCGACAGGGCAUGGAAGGAAGUAAAUGGAAGCCGGUAGGCUGGCUGCUCUAAGUUGAUCUGGUGCCUUGGUCACUCGUGGCUUCUUUCUUCUAUGCCAGCUCUGUCUUCUCUACACUUCCUCUGGAGGAGUAGGCCUUGACACAAUUACAAGGAAAUGAUCUUCAUUGGUUAGCAUGUGCCUUAUAUGUGGCUUGCAGAAAAUCUGUUCCAACUGUAAGCAAAGGGACAGUGGAAGGAAACUAUGUAUCUUUAACUAGAAUCCUGAAAUGUUCAGAGCAGAGCUUAAUCGAAUUUUUUAAUAAGAUGAAGAAGUGGGAAGACAUGGCAAAUCUACCCCCACAUUUCAGAGAACGUACUGAGAGAUUAGAAAGAAACUUCACUGUUUCUGCUGUAAUUUUUAAGAAAUAUGAACCCAUUUUUCAGGACAUCUUUAAAUACCCUCAAGAGGAGCAACCUCGUCAGCAGCGAGGAAGGAAACAGCGGCGACAGCCCUGUACUGUGUCUGAAAUUUUCCAUUUUUGUUGGGUGCUUUUUAUAUAUGCAAAAGGUAAUUUCCCCAUGAUUAGUGAUGAUUUGGUCAAUUCUUAUCACCUGCUGCUGUGUGCUUUGGACUUAGUUUAUGGAAAUGCACUUCAGUGUUCUAAUCGUAAAGAACUUGUGAACCCUAAUUUUAAAGGCUUAUCUGAAGAUUUUCAUGCUAAAGAUUCUAAACCUUCCUCUGACCCCCCUUGUAUCAUUGAGAAACUGUGUUCCUUACAUGAUGGCCUAGUUUUGGAAGCAAAGGGGAUAAAGGAACAUUUCUGGAAACCCUAUAUUAGGAAACUUUAUG
rnacentral:lncRNA from 1 species